AUGUCGCAUAUGAGGCUGUUUUUUCAGAGCCAGGCUGAGUGGAGAAGGAUAUGCAACGUAGGUACUAUAGUCGACGUCAACCAAACACGCCCAUAUAAUACCACAGCCAUGCACACCCGGCCCUCGGUACAUGCAUGGCGCGUGAUACAUCCAACUUAUCCCAACCUGCAACCGGGCCCAUCUUCUUGUGGGGUCCUUGCUCUGCUAGGUCAUCACCAGAGGCCCUCUUCUUGCUUGCUCAGCACCACUGACACGAUCACGCCAGCAACCUCAAAGCAAUGGAUCCAACGCCUUGAUCAGGCUACAUGA
rnacentral:rRNA from 1 species